AACGUAGGAGGCGAGCGUUAUCCGGAUUUACUGGGUGUAAAGCGCGUGCAGGCGGACCUGUAAGUGGUGCGUGAAAGCGCCCGGCUUAACCGGGCGAGGACGUGCUAAACUGGAGGUCUGGAGGCAGACAGAGGCGUGUGGAAUUCCGGGUGUAGUGGUGAAAUGCGUAGAGAUCCGGAGGAACACCAGUGGCGAAGGCGACACGCUGGGUCUGACCUGACGCUAAGACGCGAAAGCAUGGGGAGCGAACGGG
rnacentral:rRNA from 1 species